rnacentral:rRNA from 1 species
GAUGAACGCUGGCGGCGUGCCUAAUACAUGCAAGUCGAGCGAACAGACGAGGAGCUUACUCCUCUGACGUUAGCGGCGGACGGGUGAGUAACACGUGGAUAACCUACCUAUAAGACUGGGAUAACUUCGGGAAACCGGAGCUAAUACCGGAUAACAUGUUGAACCGCAUGGUUCAACAGUGAAAGACGGUCUUGCUGUCACUUAUAGAUGGAUCCGCGUCGCAUUAGCUAGUUGGUAAGGUAACGGCUUACCAAGGCAACGAUGCGUAGCCGACCUGAGAGGGUGAUCGGCCACACUGGAACUGAGACACGGUCCAGACUCCUACGGGAGGCAGCAGUAGGGAAUCUUCCGCAAUGGGCGAAAGCCCGACGGAGCAACGCCGCGUGAGUGAAGAAGGUCUUCGGAUCGUAAAACUCUGUUAUUAGGGAAGAACAAAUGUGUAAGUAACUAUGCACGUCUUGACGGUACCUAAUCAGAAAGCCACGGCUAACUACGUG